rnacentral:rRNA from 1 species
AAUCCAUAGGUUAAUGAGGCGAACCGGGGGAACUGAAACAUCUAAGUACCCCGAGGAAAAGAAAUCAACCGAGAUUCCCCCAGUAGCGGCGAGCGAACGGGGAGGAGCCCAGAGCCUGAAUCAGCAUGUGUGUUAGUGGAAGCGUCUGGAAAGGCGCGCGAUACAGGGUGACAGCCCCGUACACAAAAGCGCAUGUGCUGUGAGCUCGAUGAGUAGGGCGGGACACGUGGUAUCCUGUCUGAAUAUGGGGGGACCAUCCUCCAAGGCUAAAUACUCCUGACUGACCGAUAGUGAACCAGUACCGUGAGGGAAAGGCGAAAAGAACCCCGGCGAGGGGAGUGAAAAAGAACCUGAAACCGUGUACGUACAAGCAGUGGGAGCACCCUUUGGGUGUGACUGCGUACCUUUUGUAUAAUGGGUCAGCGACUUAUAUUCUGUAGCAAGGUUAACCGAAUAGGGGAGCCGGAGGGAAACCGAGUCUUAAUUGGGCGUUAAGUUGCAGGGUAUAGACCCGAAACCCGGUGAUCUAGCCAUGGGCAGGUUGAAGGUUGGGUAACACUAACUGGAGGACCGAACCGACUAAUGUUGAAAAAUUAGCGGAUGACCUGUGGCUGGGGGUGAAAGGCCAAUCAAACCGGGAGAUAGCUGGUUCUCCCCGAAAGCUAUUUAGGUAGCGCCUCGUGAAUUCAUCUCCGGGGGUAGAGCACUGUUUCGGCUAGGGGGCCAUCCCGGCUUACCAACC